rnacentral:rRNA from 1 species
AUCAGCCUUUCGGGUGCGAUUCUGUGGGGUUUGAGGAGCUUAACACCUUCAUGCUUUGCAUAUUCGUGCUCUUGGGUGUACUUGCCCGUGUGGUUGGUUAACAUCAAUUUUGGUGGUCAUAAAAUGACUGGAGGAAUGUAGCUUCGAUCUUGUAUUGAAGUGUUAUAGCCUUCGGUAGAUGUGAUGAUCGAGAUUGAGGAUUGCAACGGAUACCCUUCGGGGCUACCUGUCUGAUCUCUGAUCGCUGCUCUGGUGCCGAAAGCUUGCUUACGGUUAUCAAAGUCGAUGGUCAAUAGGUUAGAACGGGUUAAAUUCGUUAAGGAUGUUGACGUAAUGGCUUU